GUCCCAUUCGUCUAGUGGUUAGGACAUCACCCUUUCACGGUGACAACAGGGGUUCGAUCCUCCUAUGGGACA
rnacentral:tRNA from 1 species